rnacentral:rRNA from 1 species
CCUACGGGUGGCAGCAGUGGGGAAUAUUGCACAAUGGGGGAAACACUGAUGCAGCGACGCCGCGUGCAGGAAGAAGUAUUUCGGUAUGUAAACUUCUAUCAGCAGGGAAGAAAAUGACGGUACCUGACUAAGAAGCCCCGGCUAACUACGUGCCAGCAGCCGCGGUAAUACGUAGGGGGCAAGCGUUAUCCGGAUUUACUGGGUGUAAAGGGAGCGUAGGCGGUUUAGCAAGUCAGAAGUGAAAGCCCGUGGCUCAACUCCGGGACUGCUUUUGAAACUGUUGAACUUGAUUGCAGGAGAGGUAAGUGGAAUUCCUGGUGUAGCGGUGAAAUGCGUAGAUAUUAGGAGGAACACCAGUGGCGAAGGCGGCUUACUGGACUGUAAAUGACGCUGAGGCUCGAAAGCGUGGGGAGCAAACAGGAUUAGAUACCCUGGUAGUC